AUGGGGAAGAAGUCAGGGACCCAGCCUCCACUGUAUCCACCUCCCAGAAGGAAGCCUAUCUACUGCAAAGCAGUCCUCUAAACACAGGAAGCAAGAACCUCAUUCCCUGGAGCCUUUCUUUGCCAUCCAGACUAGCAAAGAUGUUCCUGCUGUGCUCAUUGGAACUGGUGCUAUGAUUACCAUCUUUGGUUUCUUUGGAUGCUUUUCUGCAUGCCGAGGAGACCCAUGGAUGCUGAAGUUGUAUUCUCUGUUUCUGUCACUGGUGUUCCUGGCUGAGCUUGUUGCUAGCGUCUCAGGGGUUUUACUUCACUAUGAGAUCAAGGACAGAUUCCUGAAGAUUUAUACCAAUGCUAUACAGAAUUAUCACAACAAUGAUAGGAAGAGCCAGGCAGUGGACCAAUUGCACUAUAUUCUGAAGUGCUGUGGGGCGAAGAACUACACAGACUGGAAUGGCAACCCUUACUUCCUGAAUCAUGGUAUCCCCCACAGUUGCUGCAAGGAUGAAACUGACUGUAAUCCCCAGGAUCUACGCAAUCUGACCACAGCUGCCACCAAAGUUAACCAGAGGGGCUGUUAUGUUGUAAUGAUAAGUUUCUUGGAGGAAAACAUGGCCAUCAUCAUUGGAGUGCUAUUUACAGUCACAUUUUCCCAAUUGGUUGGCAUGAGGUUGUCCUGUUGUCUGUCCCGGCUCAUCAUGACCCAACACUAUGAGACAGUGUGCAAAGUUUUCCGAGAGAAAUAGAGUAAGAAGCCUGUUUCCAAGAAGAAUGACUACAUCCUCUGAAAGACUUGCAAAGAACAUUAGUGCACAGAACUCAUCUGCCCUGCUCUCAUGGCUGUCUUCCUCAGGGCAAACCCUAUACAUGUUGCUGGCACUCCUACUUCAUCUCUGCUCCAACUUUUAGACCACAUGAAGUGUCUUGUUCAUCUCAUGAAGCCCUGCUGUGUUACAGUGUCACCACCUGCAGCUAGUUGUAGUGAACCCCACCUUAUAGCCCUGUGUGUGUGAGCUCUUCCUCAUGUAUCGGGUCCAAAUGCAGGUUAUUGUGGGAGGCUAGUUAUCACAUCAUCACUGGCCUCUUGUGGCCCUGAAUGAAGUAUGGGAGGCUGCCAGCCCUUUAUCAUGGUCCAUAAAAGCCACAGACCAUUCUAGAGAUAACCAUA